rnacentral:rRNA from 1 species
CUUGGGGGAAUGUAUAGCAAUUGCUAUUUGCACUAAAAUUUUUAGUGUGAAAUCGACUAUGUCGAAUAAAAUUCUGGGUAGAAUUAUGAUAAUGACAUAAUCUGUCCAUAAGUCUUGACCAAAUUACGUGCCAGCAGUCGCGGUAAUACGUAGAAGACAAGUGUUAUUCAUCUUUAAUAGGUUUAAAGGGUACUUAGACGGUAAAUAAAGCCUCAAAAAGGUACUAGUUUGCUAGAGUUUUAUGUGAAGGGGUUUUAAAGUACUACUGGUGUAGAGAUGAAAUUCAGUCAUACCUUGGAUGGCACAGGUUGAGGCGAAGGCAUCCUCUUAUGUAAAAACUGACGUUGAAGGACGAAGGCUUUGUGUCUCGAACAGGAUUAGUUACCCUAGUAGUCUAAGCAGACAAUUAUGAAUGUCAUAGAUUAGAUAUAGUUUGAUCUAUAAAUGAAAGUGUAAGCAUUCCACCUCAAGAGUAAUUUGGCAACAUUGGAACUGAAAUCAUUAGACCGUUUCUGAAACCAGUAGUGAAGUAUGUUGUUUAAUUUGAUAGUCCGCAAAAAACCUUACCACAAUUUGAAUAGAUAUAAUUUAUCAUACAAGCGUUGCACGGCUGUUUUUAGUUAAUGUCGUGAGAUUUUGGUUAGUUCCAUUAAAUUAACGUAAACCCUUAUUUUAUUUUUAAAUAAAAUAGUUCACCGCUAGAUUGGAUGUGAUAACAGGGAUCAAGACAAGUCAUCAUGACCUAAAUAUUGUGGGCUA